CUCAACUCCAGGAGAUGAUCUUGAACUUAUCCAAGGGGCAAGAGGAACUGAAAGCUCUCUUGCUCGAGAAGAAGAAAGACAAGAAACCUGUGAGUUACAUUAACCCGGGAAGAAAUGACCUUCAAACAACUCAAGUACGGUCUAAUGUACGACCCAGUUAGACCUUCAUCUACUCAGAUGCUACCUAGUGACAGGUACAUUUCUGAAUUGUAGUCUAGCGUACGACUACUCCCCUUCAUAAGCAGAUUCAGCCUAAUGGAUGGCUCAUUCU
rnacentral:lncRNA from 1 species